rnacentral:lncRNA from 1 species
CAUGAAAAAUGCACAAUACAAUUCAAUCAAUAAUCAGCAUAAUCAAUACAAGACAUGACCAAUGGAUCUCCAGACCAACCAACAGGAGACCAGUAUGUAGUCUAUUUCCCUUUUCCUCUGUAAGUGCGAAUAACAUAAAGAAGGAAUCCUUCUAAAAUAACAGGAUAGGGAAAAGGGAAGAGAUUUUCAGAUGACUUUCUUUGAGAAGUCACAAUGGUUUAACAGUGUGUAUAAAGUGUAAAUACAUACACACACAAAAUAGAGGUAGAAACUUUUCUCAUGAAAAAUGCACAAUACCAUUCAAUCAAUAAUCAGCAUAAUCAAUACAAGACAUGACCAAUGGAUCUCCAGACCAAACAACAGGAGACCAGUAUGUAGUCUAUUUCCCUUUUCCUCUCUAAGUGCCUAUAACAUAAAGAAGGAAUCCUAAAAUAACAGGAUAGGGAAAAAGGAAGAGAUUUGCAGAUUACUUUCUUUGAGAAGUCACAAUGGCUUAUAUAAAGUAUAUAUUCAUACCCACACAAAACAAAUGUCUAUUUUAUAACUUUUCUCAUGAAAAAUGCACAAUACAAUUCAAUCAAUAAUCAAGGUAAUCAAUACAAGACAUGACCAGUGGAUCUCCAGACCAAACAACAGGAGACUGAUAUGUAGUCUAUUUCCCUUUUCCUCUGUAAGUGCCUAUAACAUAAAGAAGGAAUCCUUCUAAAAUAACAGGAUAGGGAAAAGGGAAGAGAUUUUCAGAUGACUUUCUUUGAGAAGUCACAAUGGUUUAACAGUGUGUAUAAAGUGUAAAUACAUACACACACAAAAUCUAUUUUAUAACUUUUUUCAUGAAAAAUGCACAAUACAAUUCAAUCAAUAAUCAGCGUAAUCAAUACAAGACAUGACCAAUGGAUCUCCAGACCAACCAACAGGAGACCAGUAUGUAGUCUAUUUCCCUUUUCCACUCUAAGUGCGUAUAACAUAAAGAAGGAAUCCUUGUAAAAUAAUAGGAUAGGGAAAAGGGAAGAGAUUUGCAGAUGACUUUCUUUGAGAAGUCACAAUGGCUUAUAUAAAGGUAUAUAUUCAUACACACACAAACCAAAUGUCUAUUUUAUAACUUUUCUCAUGAAAAAUGCACAAUACCAUUCAAUCAAUAAUCAGGGUAAUCGAUACAAGACAUGACCAAUGGAUCUCCAAGCCAAACAAUAGGAGACUGAUAUGUAGUCUAUUUCCCUUUUCCUCUGUAAGUGCCUAUAACAUAAAGAAGGAAUCCUUCUAAAAUAAUAGGAUAGGGAAAAGGGAAGAGAUUUGCAGAUGACUUUCUUUGAGAAGUCACAAUGGUUUAUAUAGAGUAUAUAUUCAUACACACAUAAAACAAAUGUCUAUUUUAUAACUUUUCUCAUGAAAAAUGCACAAUACAAUUCAAUCAAUAAUCAGUGUAAUCGAUACAAGACAUGACCAAUGGAUCUCCAGACCAACCAACAGGAGCCUGAGAAUGCAGAGUCACUAAUGGUGGGGAACAAAAGGGACCUGAGGCUUAGGGCAGCCGUAGGGGAGCAUGAAGGCGAGCAGCGUCCCAUCCCAUAGAAUUUAGGGGCUGGGUCCCAUUAUGUUCAGAUUUGUUUAGGACAGCCAUCACCCUCUGGGAGUGGGGGGGGUGUCUCUCCCACCCUGCCCC